UCUGUGCACCACUGUGACAGCACUGGACAGCACUCUGACCUCGGAUGCACUGGCCAGGUGUACAGGAAAAGCCCUGGGAACUUUUGAAUUCAUUUUCUGUUUGGCCAGGCGAGCUCAUCAGCUCAGAUGACCAUGCAGUCCCAGAAUC